GAUGAACGCUGGCGGCGUGCCUAAUACAUGCAAGUCGAGCGAACGGACGAGAAGCUUGCUUCUCUGAUGUUAGCGGCGGACGGGUGAGUAACACGUGGAUAACCUACCUAUAAGACUGGGAUAACUUCGGGAAACCGGAGCUAAUACCGGAUAAUAUUUUGAACCGCAUGGUUCAGAAGUGAAAGACGGUCUUGCUGUCACUUAUAGAUGGAUCCGCGCUGCAUUAGCUAGUUGGUAAGGUAACGGCUUACCAAGGCAACGAUGCAUAGCCGACCUGAGAGGGUGAUCGGCCACACUGGAACUGAGACACGGUCCAGACUCCUACGGGAGGCAGCAGUAGGGAAUCUUCCGCAAUGGGCGAAAGCCUGACGGAGCAACGCCGCGUGAGUGAUGAAGGUCUUCGGAUCGUAAAACUCUGUUAUUAGGGAAAAACAUAUGUGUAAGUAACUGUGCACAUCUUGACGGUACCUAAUCAGAAAGCCACGGCUAACUACGUGCCAGCAGCCGCGGUAAUACGUAGGUGGCAAGCGUUAUCCGGAAUUAUUGGGCGUAAAGCGCGCGUAGGCGGUUUUUUAAGUCUGAUGUGAAAGCCCACGGCUCAACCGUGGAGGGUCAUUGGAAACUGGAAAACUUGAGUGCAGAAGAGGAAAGUGGAAUUCCAUGUGUAGCGGUGAAAUGCGCAGAGAUAUGGAGGAACACCAGUGGCAAAGGCGACUUUCUGGUCUGUAACUGACGCUGAUGUGCGAAAGCGUGGGGAUCAAACAGGAUUAGAUACCCUGGUAGUCCACGCCGUAAACGAUGAGUGCUAAGUGUUAGGGGGUUUCCGCCCCUUAGUGCUGCAGCUAACGCAUUAAGCACUCCGCCUGGGGAGUACGACCGCAAGGUUGAAACUCAAAGGAAUUGACGGGGACCCGCACAAGCGGUGGAGCAUGUGGUUUAAUUCGAAGCAACGCGAAGAACCUUACCAAAUCUUGACAUCCUUUGACAACUCUAGAGAUAGAGCCUUCCCCUUCGGGGGACAAAGUGACAGGUGGUGCAUGGUUGUCGUCAGCUCGUGUCGUGAGAUGUUGGGUUAAGUCCCGCAACGAGCGCAACCCUUAAGCUUAGUUGCCAUCAUUAAGUUGGGCACUCUAAGUUGACUGCCGGUGACAAACCGGAGGAAGGUGGGGAUGACGUCAAAUCAUCAUGCCCCUUAUGAUUUGGGCUACACACGUGCUACAAUGGACAAUACAAAGGGCAGCGAAACCGCGAGGUCAAGCAAAUCCCAUAAAGUUGUUCUCAGUUCGGAUUGUAGUCUGCAACUCGACUACAUGAAGCUGGAAUCGCUAGUAAUCGUAGAUCAGCAUGCUACGGUGAAUACGUUCCCGGGUCU
rnacentral:rRNA from 1 species